rnacentral:rRNA from 1 species
AACGAACGCUGGCGGCAGGCUUAACACAUGCAAGUCGAACGCAUCCUUCGGGGUGAGUGGCAGACGGGUGAGUAACGCGUGGGAACGUGCCCUUCAGUUCGGGAUAACCCAGGGAAACUUGGGCUAAUACCGGAUACGUGCGAGAGCAGAAAGAUUUAUCGCUGAAGGAUCGGCCCGCGUCUGAUUAGCUAGUUGGUGAGGUAAUGGCUCACCAAGGCGACGAUCAGUAGCUGGUCUGAGAGGAUGAUCAGCCACAUUGGGACUGAGACACGGCCCAAAUUCCUACGGGAGGCAGCAGUGGGGAAUAUUGGACAAUGGGCGCAAGCCUGAUCCAGCCAUGCCGCGUGAGUGAUGAAGGCCUUAGGGUUGUAAAGCUCUUUCGUCCGGGACGAUAAUGACGGUACCGGAAGAAGAAGCCCCGGCUAACUUCGUGCCAGCAGCCGCAGUAA